AUUGAACGCUAGCGGGAUGCUUUACACAUGCAAGUCGAACGAGUGGCGGACGGGUGAGUUAUAUAUCGGACUGUGCCCAGUAGGGGGGGAUAACUACUAGACGGAGUCUCUAAUACCACAUACUCUUGUAGCUCCCUAUAUCGUCUUAUCUAGUUGGUGGGGUAAAGGCUCACCAAGGCAACGAUCCGUAGCUGGUUUGAGAGGAUGACCAGCCACACUGGGACUGAGACACGGCCCAGACUGCUACGGGAGGCAGCAGUGGGGAAUUUUGGACAAUGGGGGAAAGCCUGAUGCAGCCAUCCCGCGUGUAGGAGAAGGCCUUCGGGUUGUAAAGUACUUUUGGCAGGGAAGCGUUACCGGCAGAAGAAGCACCGGCUAACUACGUGCCAGCAGCCGCGGUAAUUC
rnacentral:rRNA from 1 species